rnacentral:lncRNA from 1 species
GGAUGAGAGAGCUGUCCCAUGGCUGGGCUGUUUUUACGUAUACUGGCUGCUUACAGGAUAUCACGCUGCUGAAUGACGUGUACUUGAAGACCAGCAGAGGGUGGUGGAUGUGCCUCUGCCCACGCUGUGUAAAGAUGGCGGCAGAGCGGACCCAACAGCACCCUUGGAGUCUACACAGGAAGAUAAAGUCAUGCAUGGAAUAUCUUCACAAACACAAUGAGAAUCUCAGAAGCUAUAGAAUGUCUGACACAUACAAAAAGAAAGAAAGAAAAGACAGAAAGAAAAGAAAGAAAGAGAAAGAAGAAAGAAAAAGAAAGAAAGAAAGAAAGAAAGAAAGAAAAGAAAGAAAGAAAGGAAAGAAAGAAAGAAAGAGAAAGAAAGAAAGACAGAGAAAGAAAGAAAGAAAUCUGAAUUCAGGACUAGAUCUAAAAUAAUAAAAAUCAAAAAUGAAUAUCUGACCCUAUGAACUUAAUUUUUGCCUAUCAAAGUAUUUUUCUGUUAGCUUGUUUUCUUUAAAAUAAAUUGAAUAAGUUAAAAGUCAGCAUGACCUAGUGAAGACUGUCAACCAUAGCUGCAUGUUAAAAUAACCUAGAGAGCUUUAGAAAGAAAAAACAGCAAGGCCUUUAACCUGCUCCCAGAAUUACCGAUUUCAUGGUCUGGAUGAGCUUAGCCAUUAGAAUUUUGACAAGGAAAUGAGUCUCCAUUUUCUCCUGUCAGAGAGAAAUAAUAUUUUUUAUCCUGGAUGGUCAUUAUAAUGAUCUAAGCAGCUAGAAUACUCUUGCCCAUGGCUUGCUUGCUCAUUUCUGCCAAAAAUUUUAUAAAAUAUUUGCUUCUCAAAGGUGCCCCACCUGUCACCAUAGCAAAG